rnacentral:tRNA from 1 species
UACGGACUUAAAAUCCGUUGGCUUUUUAGACCGUGAGGGUUCAAGUCCCUCUACCCCUA